AAAGUACUCCCUCCGUCCCAAAAUUCUUGUCUUAGAUUUGUCUAGAUACAGAUGUAUCAAGGCACAUUUUAGUAUUAGAUACAUCCGUAUGUAGACAAAUCUAAGACAAGAAAUUUGGGACAGAGGGAGUAGUUG
rfam:Triticum aestivum genome assembly, contig: Triticum_aestivum_CS42_TGACv1_scaffold_456900_5DS